UCCUUCUUCCUAGAUACUCCUGGAAGGGGUGUGGGGGGAAAACUCCCAGAGUGUCGUGGCUGUGGAUGACCUCUCCAUAGAAGCUGGAGAUUGCCCAGCUUCCUCCAUUCGAUGCGAUUUCUCUUGCUCUUUUGACCUGGACUUCUGCUCCUGGAAACCGUUGGCCUCCAACGUCUUUAACUGGACUCGGCACCAAGGCCCAACGCCCUCGUCCAACACGGGACCAUCCUCCGACCACACUUCAGGAGAGGGCCAUUUUAUCUACCUGGACGGCAGUGCUACCAACACAGGGGACAUAACGCACCUGGUCAGCCCCGUCUGUAACUCCUCCAGGCCCCAUUGCCUCCGCUUCUGGUAUCACAUGUACGGGGCAGCUCGAACAAUGGCGCUGCGCAUUUUAGUCGUCUCCGGCGGCGCCGCGCCUGUGCUGCUCUGGAGUCAAACCGGGAACAAAGGGGACCAGUGGCACAGAGGUGAAGUCAAUGUGGCUCAUG